CUUAUCAUUUACCUACGCACGUACUUAUACCACGAUAAUACCGUAAACUGAUCGGUUAUCGUGAUUAGUAGAUGUUUCAGUGCAUCUUGGAAGUCAAUGAACAUCCGACUUAGAGAUGAAUCUGUCCGUGGUCCUCGCCAUCCUGGUCCUUAGUAUGUACAAUACCGCUGUACAUGGCUCUCUCUCCUGUAUCCUCCGCUGUCGACUAUCCGGCUCCACUUUCCGGCUCCACUUCCGGCUCCAUCUCCCGCUGUGACUGUAACAUGCACUUGGACCACUUAUCAGUUUCAGAGUUAAUAGAGAGACAGGUACACCAUCACCACCACCAUCACACAUCCCACCCACAAGUAACAACCUCACCGAAACCGGAACCGGAAACGACGCCGAUGCCACUGCGGAUUUUUAAGACAACUACGAUCGCACCGAAACUAAAAACAACCACGGACAUAUGUGAUACUCUGUGUAAGAUACAGCUUGGUGGUGACGCGUGCAACUGUAGCAUGCCGGGACUUCCCGGACGACGUAAAUAAAAGUCCUUAU